rnacentral:lncRNA from 1 species
CCCGCUCUCCCGCCGCGCGCGCUGGGCUGCGCUCAGAAUCCCCCAGGGAACGGGGGUCCAGCCCUGGAGAAGCCGUCUAGGUCUGGGACAGCCAGUUCUGGGGCCACCCGUCGCAUUGUUGGGCUCCCUCUCCGGCUUCUCGGACCGUUGGCUCUCCAGCUUUUGCUCGAUCUCCUCCGGGGACCCCCCAGCACCCUCAACAUGCAUGUGACAGGAGUGCGGCCCCAUUUCACAGAGGGUCACCCAGGGGAAACAGAGGAGCGAGAGGACUCCGGCCCGGCUGGCGCAGGCAGGGCAAGGUUCCCGAAGGAGCCCUCGGAACAGGAAUAGGGGUACAGGAAGGACGUUUCUGGAAGUGCCCUGAGCGCGCCAAAGCGGGGGGCAGGCGGGCGAGGUGCCGCCGGAGCCCCUCUGCGGAUCUUCGAGGAGGUCGGCGCUGCCCAUGUGGGGUCCGAGACUCGGACUCUCCAGACACAGCCCGCCCCAUCCGGCUGGGGAGAGGUCCCCGGCAAGCCCUGGGUGGAGCCAGGUCCCGGGGCCACCCAGGCGUCUGUCGCGGUGGGCGGUGAGAGUGAGAGCACCUGGUCGUUCGCCGCCUACCCCUCGGGCCCCGCAGCCCCUUUCGUGCGGGAAGGACGGCCGCCUCCACCUAGGCUUCCGCCAACUUUAACCAUAUUAUCUCUCCUGCCCCUACGAGUUUCCACAGUAAGGGGGCGGGGGUUGCAGGACCUCCCCGGCCGUACCAGUAUCCAAGUACCACGCGCCUGGGCGCGUAGAUGGACUCAGUUUCCUCGGUGGGAAGUUGCACUGCCUCUGUGGUGCCCCUCUGUUUAUGGGAGUUCUGCUCCACCGCACCUAGGUCAUCUCACCCAUCCCCCAGCUUCUGAACAGGAUGCCGCCACAUUCUGUCAUUGAUCUCAAAACUAUUUGAGCGCCUACUAUGCCUCCGGUCCGAGUUCCUCGCCUCAACUCCCAGCCCCUCCGGCGGCUCCCUAGGCUUAGAGGAAGGAGCGGGAGAUCCAGGAGUACCGAUCUCCAGUCCAGGGCGCAGGGUAAGAGAGCUGAAGGUCGUCGGUGACUGGGUGAAGCCACUGGGGUAGGGCGGGGGUGGGCAGACGCCGGCGGGUCUGGG